rnacentral:rRNA from 1 species
UACGAAGGGUGCAAGCGUUACUCGGAAUUACUGGGCGUAAAGCGCGCGUAGGUGGCUUCGUAAGUCCGUUGUGAAAGUCAAAGGCUCAACCUUUGAAAGCCGAUGGAUACUGCGGAGCUAGAGUACGGAAGAGGCGAGUGGAAUUCCUGGUGUAGCGGUGGAAUGCGCAGAUAUCAGGAGGAACACCAAUAGCGAAGGCAGCUCGCUGGGACGUUACUGACACUGAGGCGCGAAAGCGUGGGGAGCGAACAGG